rnacentral:rRNA from 1 species
UACGAAGGGGGCUAGCGUUGCUCGGAAUCACUGGGCGUAAAGCGCACGUAGGCGGCUUCUUAAGUCAGGGGUGAAAUCCUGGAGCUCAACUCCAGAACUGCCUUUGAUACUGAGGAGCUUGAGUCCGGGAGAGGUGAGUGGAACUGCGAGUGUAGAGGUGAAAUUCGUAGAUAUUCGCAAGAGCACCAGUGGCGAAGGCGGCUCACUGGCCCGGUACUGACGCUGAGGUGCGAAAGCGUGGGGAGCAAACAGG